rnacentral:lncRNA from 1 species
UCAAAAAUAUGACUAUAUUGUCAAGUGAAAAUAACCCAACAAAUUAAAAUGUCAAAUUUAGUGUUUGUAUCGAUGUUAGUACUACUUGUUGUGUGCUUGAAUAUUUCAACAAGUUCAAGUGCUAGAAAUCCAGUGAGUGUAUCACUUUCUAAACCUCACCUAAAUGAGUCCAAAAUCAACAUAUUAUCUGUUACAUUAAUCAAUGAUUUGUCUCCUGGCUCACAAGAAUUAACUAUGCAAUGCAACUUUUAUGAUGGUGCACGCCGAUUAGAACCAGGACAUUCUUGGUCGCUUAUAUCUAACUUUAAACAAAAAAAAUGUGAUUUGAGAUGUGGGCCACAUCAUUUAGUGUUCUACUUAUACGAUUUCGACAAGGAAGGAGGAUUAAGCCAUCAACGUGUUUUUUGGUCAGUGAGGUACGAUGCUAUAUAUCAUAGUUGGGAUAAUGUUAACUGGGAAAAAAGGGAACUUUGGGAUAAUGAAUGAAUUCUACUUUACAUUUCUUUUGGGAUUCAUUUUGUAGCUUUUAUUCUAAAUAAAAUAAAAUAAUGGGUAAUCUGUCUUCUUAUUCUCAUAUGGAUUUGAUUGUGUGUAUGUUUUCUUAUACAUGUAAUUUUUGUUCAAUUGAUCAUCGAACGUGUUAGUAUUUUGGAUUUAUUUUUUAAAAUAAUCCCAUUUUUUAAUAGAAAAUUUCAAAUUACCUUUUUUUUUCAAUCAUAUGUCAAUUUAUCCUCUUUAUAUCAGCUAUCAAUAUAAGAAAUGAAAAUACAAGUAAAAAAUUAAUAUUAUUUUACUCAUUUUUAACCAUUAUUAGAAUUUAAGGAUAAAAACAACAGUUUAUUUAAUUCAAAUUUUGCACCGUUUUCUAAGAGCCUAAUACAAUAAAUUCAUUUUGUGGAACAACUUUUGAUAUACUCUUCACUUUUUAUUCAUAAUAAAUAUUUGUAACUAAUAUAUAUAAUUAUAUAUUUUUUGCAACGAAUUGUAUGUAAAAUAUCAAUGACGCGUCACUCAUGUGAGAGUAUAAUGUUAGUACUUAGUGAAAAGUGAAACAAAUCAUGCUAUGAUGCGGAAACUUGUAUUGAUAAUAUUUUUCUUUUGUUAAUUUUUUUAGUUUUAAUCGGAGCUCUCAUGUAUGAACCAUCAUUGGGUUUUUUAGUUGUUGUUAAUUUAAUAUUAAUGCAACUAAAAAUAAAAAAUAAAAAAAACAAGUUAUUUAUUUAUGAUUGAAAUGAAUACAUUGAAAUAUUUUUUUUACUCUUCAUAUUGUCACAACUGCUCAACUUAUCUACCACAUAUUUAGCAAUUCAUUUAGAACUUUUUGAACUAUUAUUAAAAAUUUGACCACAUGUGUGAUCACCACACUAUUUCUUCAUUAUGAAAUUGUGACUUUCCCCCACUUUACUUACUAAGUAGUAAGAACCUCCAUUUAGCCUUGCAUAUGAUCCUUACUCUUGCAUAGGGGUGGGAAUAGGUCAGGCUAAGCCAGACUUUGAAAGACCUGAGUCUGGCCUAAGAUUAAUUUUUUAGAACUAAGUCUGGCCUACAGCCUACCAUAUGCUCUUUUUUUUUUGUCUGGCCUGACAUUUUUAAAAGUCUGAUCUGACCUAGAAACCUAUUUCCACAUACCAGUAUCAAUGUACAUAUCUAUAUAUAUUAAACAAAAAAUAAUUUUUCUAACAAAAUAUUUUUUUUUUUUAAAUUUGAAACAAACAUUCUUUAAACCAUAAAACAUAAUUUUUUGUUUCAAAAAAUAGAUUUUUUUUUUCUGAAACAAAUGCACCCAUUAUUACCUCUCAAAUAAAUAUGGAACGACUACUGAAUGAUUGAUUAAUUGAAUGACUACCAAAUAUGGAGCCUGAUUUCCAUCCCAUUUAAUAUAGUUCAUUCUCUGAUUGCAUCCUUAAACUCAACAAGUGAUUUAAACUAUAGUCCCAAUGUGAACUUGCAAUUUUUGUUUAGCUCCUCCUGUUGAGACAACAUCUCAAUUUAAUAUUUUGAUGAAAACAAACAAAAAGUUAAUUAAGAAUUCUAAUUAUGAUUCUAAGUGUUUUGAUAUUUAACAUGUGUUUUUGAGUAUGUUAAAACAAGAUAGGUAUCAAACAUCACAAAUCAGAUCAAAGAAAGCAGUUCUGGAAAACGCAGAUUGAUCUUGAAGCAGUUCUGGAAAACGCAGAUUGAUCUUGAAGCAGUUCUGGAAAACAAACAUCAAUCCUGGAAAUAAUUUUCAUCCUAUACUCUCAUAUAAUCAACAAAAGAUCCAUCCAAGUCAUAUAUAUUCCAGAAUUUGAAGAAUCAAAGGCAUGCUUCAAUAAAGGCAUAUCACAUGUUGAGACAAAAUCUCAAUUUAAUAUUUUGAUGAAAACAAACAAAAAGUUAAUUAAGAAUUCUAAUUAUGAUUCUAAGUGUUUUGAUAUUUAACAUGUGUUUUUGAGUAUGUUAAAACAAGAUAGGUAUCAAACAUCACAAAUCAGAUCAAAGAAAGCAGUUCUGGAAAAAGAAGAUUGAUUCUGGAAAACGAAGAUUGAUCUUAAAGCUAUUCAGGAAAAUGAAGAUUGAUUUUGACCUUCUGCUGAGAAACGAUUAACGAUCUUUGUUUAUGGCAUAAACAAGGAUAAUCAGGUUCCUUGUAAAAAGAUCAAUCUUGGAAACAUCAUUCAUCUUAUAUUCUCAUAUAGAAUCAGCAAAGGAUCAAUCUGAGUCACAUUUGUUCCAGAAUUUGAAGAAUCAAAGACAUGCUUCAAUAAAGGCAUAAUACAAGAUCAUUCUUCAAAUGAGGCAUUUACAAGUACAAGUUUACAUGCUGUAAAGUACACCUAAGUUGUACUUCAAUCCUGGCAUGCACACAAGAAGUCAUCUCAGUCAGCUGACAACAAUCACAAAGUACAUAACAGAUCAUCACAAAUUCGAAGAUCAAUCCUGGUUCUCAAGAUCGAUCUUGGAUGCAGCUGUGAUCACUCUUGUUUUUGACAGACUUUAUCCAACAGCUUUUUCAUGACAGCUGGCCCUAUUUCAACGACCAUAUGAGUUGUCCCAAGCCUUCUUGAAAUCUAUAAAUGCAGCUUCAAGAUGAAGAACAAAGCACAACUCAAAGUACCAAGCAAAAGAUCAAUCAUUUCAAUCAUACUCAAGCAUCUCAAUAUCAUUCUUAAAGAUUGCUGUUUUUAAUCUUUGUGUUGUGUUAGAAUCAAUCACAACUGAGUUCUAUUUACAGAAUCUAUUUCUCCAACAAGAGUUGAGCAAUACUAAGAUUCUAAUACUCUUAAAAUCAUCACUUUGUUUUAAAAGGUAUCUAUGCAAAAUCCUUUCUAAAAUAGUGUAAGGUAAACCUGUGAAAAAUCAUUUCUAGGUAGAAACCGUGUAAAGAUCAAGAUUGAUCCAUGAAAACCAAGAACGAUCUUGGUUUGAACACUUAGUGAAAAAUCUCACGGUUGUGAGGACUGGACGUAACCCGGGUUGGGUGAACCAAGAUAUAUCCUUGUGUGAUCUCUCUAUCUCUAUCUCUAUUUAUUUUAUGCAUUACAAUCAGAGUUUAUAUUGAUAACAUUGAUAUUGCUGUUUUUUACUAACCAAGAUCAAUCUUCGCUAUAACCAAGAUCAAUCUUCGUUAUAACCAAGAUCAAUCUUGAGUUGAAUUUUCAGUUUUAAGCAGGAAUAUUUUAAAAGGGGCAAUUAUAAUUCAAACCUCCAUUCCUUGUUAUUGACAUUGUUUACCUUCACCUCCACCUUAAAUUGAUCAUACUUUGGUCUCUUCUCUUUGUCUGAAUCAAAAUCAAGGUCACUACUAUCUAGUUCUUCAUUGACAUAAGCAUACUCCAUUUCAAUAUUAUAAUUAUAAUUGUCCAACAUAAGUGAAGUAACAACGUCAAUUUACAAUGAAUGAGGUUUGAAUUGUAAAUUCACCUAUUUAAAAUUUUCUGUUAAAAACUUAAGAAAAUAACUCAAUUGAUCUUGGUUGUGAAAACAGAGAACGUUCUUGGUUAGUUAAAAUCAAUAGUUUAGCUUAUCUAUUUAACUUGAUAAUCAAAAAGACUGAAAGUAAAUAGAGAUAAAGGAAGAGAUAUCACACAAAGAUAUAUCCUGGUUCAUCCAAAUCGGGCUACGUCCAGUCAUCACAGCCAUGAGAUUUUCCACUAAACGUUCAAACAGAGAACGUUCUUGGUUUUGCAUACUUUUGUUCAUACCAUCCUUGAUAUGUAACAACAAUUCAUUUUCACCCAUAAAGGGAUUCAAUCAGGCCACCUAUUAAUCUUUAGAGAGGAUUUUAAAUUCACCUUUUAACCAUAAAAAGAUUUUCUACAAACUAUAAAUAACCCUUAUAGUCUUGAGUUUACACAAUAAUGAUUUAAAGAUAUUGGUAGAAUAUGAGUAUGCUCAACUCGUGUUUGAGAAUAAAUUAUUGGUAAAAUAAUUCAGUGGAAUGAUUAUGAUAUUUGAAGAGAAAACAUAACUGAAACUUUUGCGAUUUGAGAAGCUUUCAAGUAUGUAAGUGAUGAAUUUUCUUAGCACUUGAAGUUCUUCUUUUCCUUUGAGUUUGAGGUUCCUUUUAUAGGCUUCAAGGAGGUUGAUAACAACUAUUAUGACCGUUGGAAAGGUGCUCAGUUGUCAUGUGUCAGAUUUGACCAAAGAUUAAACUUUUAAAACCAUGAAUGCUCUUGACUUGAACAUGAUGUGUUUUUGCUUCUGUGAUAAUAAUGUAUGAUAUGUAGCUUCUCAUCUUGAUUGUGAUGAUAAUUUGUUUAUGCACACAAACAUCUCAGAGAUGUGCUUAAUGUAUUCAGAUUACGAUUGUCUUUUGAUUCGUGCAAAAUAGGCUCGAGAAUGAUGUACAUAUGUUGGAGAAUGAUUUUUAAUAUACUAGAGAAUGAUGUUAUCAUUUUAGGACUAAUGUUAAAAUACUGGAGAAUGAUGUUAUCAUUCUGGAGACUGUUGUUAACAUGCUGGAUAAUGAUGUCCGCAUCAUGGAGAUUAAUUGUAACAUGCUGGAGAAUAUUUAUCAAUCUGAAGACUGAUGUUAUUAUGUUGAAGAAUGGUCAUUUAUCACUUUUGCUUUGAGUCAUGCCUUUUAAUCUUUGAUCUUUUAGAGUGUUUCUUUUGUUGAUAUGAGAGUUGUGCAUUCCUUGUAGAUGUACUGGAAAUACAUUCAUAAUUUGCAGGAGCUUUUCUGACAUUAACAGAUGAUUUGAACUUGCUUGAUGAAAAAGCGUGGAGAGCAUUCUUGGGUUUUCAGAAUGUGUUAAGAACGUUCUUGGUUCUGUUUUAUUCAUUUUUUGCUUUUUCUUUAAAUUGAUUUUGCUUGCAUUGUUUAAUAAAUAUCUUGAAUUAUUACACUCAAAAGCACAUGUUAAAUUAACAUAUUAUUUAGAAUCAUAAUUAGAGUCUUUAAUUAACCUUUGUUUGUUUACAUCGAAACAUUAAUUUAAGAUUUUGCCUCAACAAUAAGAACAAUCUCAAUGUUCUUAGUUGUUUUCUUCGAUAUGGACCUAUUAGCAGUAGUCUUCAACAUUAUAUGAUCCAACAUAAUGGUCAUUUAUUGUAUUAUCAAUAUCAAAACUAUCAUCCAAGUCUAGUGCUCUCUCAUCUUCAUUAUCAUCAAAUUUAACACCAUCAACUUCAUUUUCACUGUUGUCACUAUCAUUGACACUUCCAUCAUCAUCAACAUCACUUUCAUCAGCACCAUUUAAUCCCCCUAGAAAACUAUUCCAACUCAAAUCUUGGUUGUGACCCAAACAACCCUUUUAUAGAGUGCGCAACAUAUAACUGAGCUUUGCAAUUCAUUUUUAGAGCAUGUUCACCAACUUCAGAUGCAUCUUUACCAUCACUGUUCUUUUAAAGUUUUCAUCUAUACUACGUUUUUGAACUUUAUAGGCCUCUUUACAAUAUUUAUCAAUUGUACCAAGCAGCCAAUUUUAAUAUCUAAUAUUGGACUAUGGAUUGAAAUUUCCACCGAAGAUUUUACCAAUGCAACAUUUAUUAUUAUUUUUCAUCAAAAUAUUUUCAUUUAUUGAAUUUCACUCUAUUUAGUUAAUUAAUGUCGGUUACAUGUUUGAAAUUAAAAAUUCACACAGAAAAUUGCUAAUUUACAUUAUUUUUAAAUUUAAUUUUCUAUCAAGUGACUGAUCGAUAUUUUUAAAAGAUUAUUUAUUGUUAUACAUAUGUGGCACUUAUUUCUUUGUGUAGUUUGUUUAAGUCUAACAUAUUCCUUUUAUGCAUUUCAUAAACAAAUGUUGAAUAAUUAAAUAUUUGUUAAAUGAACAUCAUCAAGAAUUAGAUAUUGUUUAUUCUUUUUACAAAAAAAAUUGAUAUGAAACUAAUACGUGAGUGGUUAAAUAAUUGUUUGAUUACUUAUACAAACAUAUUUUUAUUGACAUUAAAAAUGAGAAAAUUAUUCAAUAUUUUAAAAUAUGUAAAACCACAAAAACUAUUACGAUGAUGUAUAAUUAUGCUUUAAAAAAAAUAAAAUUUUAUAUAUAUUUAGUAUUCUAAAUUUAUAUAUAUAUAUAUAUAUAUAUAUAUAAAUAAUAAUUGCUCCUGUGAUCUCAUAUAUAUUUUGUAUUCUAUAUAUAUAUAUAUAUAUAUAUAUAUAUAUAUAUAUAUAUAUAUAUAUAUAUAUAUAUAUAUCGAUUCUAUCACUCAAAAUAUUUAGUAUAUCUCUAAGUAAAAAAAUAUAAUAUUACUUAAUAAAUAAACAUAAUGAAAAUCUUAAACACAUCUUUUUUGUCAAAUACAUUUGAAUUUUUCUUUAUUAUUUAACAUAGAUGGUUGUAAGAUGAUAUGCGCCCUCCUAUAUAUACAGUUCCACCCAAAAAUAUAGUUGUGAAGUCCAAAUACAACAGAUUAUCUAUUUCAAUAGUCAAUGAUUUAUCACUUGGCUCACAACAAUUAACCAUGAAAUGCAGCUUUUAUGAUGGUGCACGCCUAUUAAUACCAGGACAUCGUCGGAAGUUUCUAAGUAACUUUGAACCCAGAAAAUGUGAUUUGAGAUGGUUACGAGAAAACGGACCACAUUAUAUAAUCUUCAACUUAUAUAAUUUUGACAAGGAAGGAGGAUUUAUUCAUCAACAUGUUUUUUGGUCAGUGAGGAACAAGGCUAUAUAUCACAGUUGAUAUUAUGUUAACUGGGAAAAAAGG